UUAUCCUAUUUGAUCUCAUUUUCCAUUUUAGUUUAUGAUUUGUUUUCAAGAGGAUGUCCAAUUCCCUCUUUCCCUUGUAGUCCUUGAAGUUAAGUUUUAAUGAAAGUUGUGUUUCAAAAAAAAUGGACUGUACGAUCCAGAAUACCAAAGACAAGGUCUAUGUAUUGACCCUCACUUGAGAAAUUUUCUCAAUCAAUAAAUGGUUGUUGAUCUAUCCUCAAACCUUCAGCAACUGAAAGGAAUCUAUAGGUCAUUGAUCUAUCCUCAAAACUUUGAAUAAAUGAAAGGUUUUAUGUUUAAUGGUGUGUUGUCAUGGUCCCUCCUUUUCUUUUUCUCUAUGGUCUUUAGUUUUAUCUUGCGUCAGCGUCAAGUGGACUUGUUGUUUAAAGGUUGAUGUCAGUUUACAUUAUGGUAUUGUACCCUUAUCUUACAAUCGUUAAACCGUGGUUUGUUUUU